rnacentral:pre_miRNA from 1 species
GUGCACACGUAUGUGUAUGCAUCUAUGCGCGGGCCUACACACACGUGCGCACGA